rnacentral:misc_RNA from 1 species
GAUGAAGAACGUAGCGAAAUGCGAUAAGUAAUGUGAAUUGCAGAAUUCAGUGAAUCAUCGAAUCUUUGAACGCACAUUGCGCCCGCCAGUAUUCUGGCGGGCAUGCCUGUCCGAGCGUCAUUUCAACCAUCAAGCCCCGGGCUUGUGUUGGGGACCUGCGUCCGACGCAGGCCCUGAAAACCAGUGGCGGGCUCGCUGUCCACACCGAGCGUAGUAACUAACCUCGCUAUGGAGUGGCGCGGGCGCCUGCCGUAAAGCCCCCAAUUUCACAAGGUUGACCUCGGAUCAGGUAGGAAUACCCGCUGAACUUAAGCAUAUCAAUAAGCGGAGGA